UACAGAGGUGCCGAGCGUUAGGCGGAAUCACUGGGCUUAAAGCGUGUGUAGGCGGACUUCUAAGUACCUUGUGAAAUCCCACGGCUCACCCGUGGAACUGCUGGGUAUACUGGUCGUCUUGAGCCACCUAGGGGCCAGCGGAACAAAUGGUGGAGCGGUGAAAUGCGUAGAUAUCAUUUGGAACGCCAGCGGUGAAAACAGCUGGCUGGGGGUGUGCUGACGCUGAGACACGAAAGCCAGGGGAGCGAACGGG
rnacentral:rRNA from 1 species